rnacentral:rRNA from 1 species
UACGUAGGGGGCAAGCGUUGUUCGGAAUUACUGGGCGUAAAGCGCGCGUAGGCGGAUAUUUAAGUCAGGGGUGAAAUUCCGCAGCUCAACUGUGGGACUGCCUUUGAUACUGGGUAGCUUGAGUAUGGGAGAGGUAAAUGGAAUUGCGAGUGUAGGGGUGAAAUUCGUAGAUAUUCGGAAGAACGCCAGUGGUGAAGGCGGCGUACUGGACUAAUACUGACGAUGAGGUGCGAAAGAGUGGGGAGCGAACAGG